rnacentral:rRNA from 1 species
UACGGGGGGAGCAAGCGUUGUUCGGAUUUACUGGGCGUAAAGGGCGCGUAGGCGGUCAGCACAAGUCAGUUGUGAAAUCUCCGGGCUUAACUCGGAAAGGUCAACUGAUACUGUGCGACUAGAGUGCGGAAGGGGCAAUUGGAAUUCUCGGUGUAGCGGUGAAAUGCGUAGAUAUCGAGGGGAACACCUGCGGCGAAGGCGGGUUGCUGGGCCGACACUGACGCUGAUGCGCGAAAGCCAGGGGAGCGAACAGG